CGUCUACCGCCGCAUCCUGGAGGAAGGCGAGGGCGACCCCAGCAACCUGAGCGCCCUGCCCGCCCAGAACCUGCUGGCGGACCCCGUCAACUCCAGGCUGCCGAACCAAGACACCCAGGAGGAAAUGGACAUCUUCAGCCAGGCUGUGCUCAUCAUCAACGCGCUGCUCUAAUCCCGCUAGGCCAGAGAAGCAGCCGGCGCCCUCCGCAGAAGUGCCGCCUGGACGUGGCAGCCUCGACCACGUCCCUCCCCACCGCCAACCACCCUAAUAAACCUGCUUUUAGCUCUCA